GAAUUACACGUAAUACGUGUAAAAUGAAAAUUUCUGGUUGACUUUCAUGAGGAUUCAAACCUCAGAUCCACCGAUUUUGCAGUCAGAUACUCUACCUGCCGUUGUAUAUGAAAAAAAAAAAAAAACUCGUGCUGCUAUUGUUCUUAUCUCACUUUAAGCAUUGUAUUUUGUUUGCUUCUUGAGUGUGUCAUCAACAGGUUAUACAGAUGCAGCUAUUGUUUUGCUUGAAUCAAACGCCUGUUGAGUUCAAGUUGGCUUUCAAGUCAGCGAUCUAGGGGCUUUUAUGCAAUGAGGGUUGCUUAGCUGUUUAGCUCAAGGAACUUGUUUCAGUCAAAGACACCACUCUCUGGGGACUAGUUGGAUCACAGAAAGGAAAUGGCAUCACUUCUAAUGUAGCGUGAGGAAAAACAAUACGUUCCGGUCUAAGAAUCUCACAAAAAUUGAGAAGAGAAAUCUUAACCCCCAAGAAAAGUUGGUUCACCAUUCAAAGUGCUGAUUUUGGAUCAAGCCGGUGGUGUAACGAAGUAGAUGGAAACAAACAUUGUCCAUCGACUGUAAACUUUUUGGCACCGCUUAAAGCUUAUGAAGUCUACAUACUGAGCUCGUACGAUGGAGUUUAAAAGUUGUUUUCUCCAUGGUUGGAAGUUGCGGUGUUUUCUCAACAAGGAAGCAGUUUAAAAGUUGCAGUGUUUAUGCAUCAUGUGUUUGUCAACCGAGAAGCAGUUUAAAUGUGGUGGUGUCUGUGCAUUGUACAGGAGGCAAUUUAAAAGUUGCGGUGCGUGUCUAUGCAUCAUUUGCAUAUUUUCCAACAAGGAAGCAUUUUAAAAAUUCCAGUAUCUCCGCAGUUUAAAAGUUGUGGUAUCUAUGCAUCAUAUGUUUGUCACUCAGGAAGUAAUUUGAAAGUUGCAGUACAUGUCUAUGCAUCAUGUGUUUGUCAACAAGGAAGCAGUUUUAAAGUGGCUGUGUCUAUGCAUCAUUUGUUUUUAAUGAGGGAACAGUUUGAAAGUUGCGGUAUCUAUUUAUCACCUUGAUAUCAAUAAGGAAGCAGUUUGAAGUUGUAGUGUCUAUCCACCGCGUGGUUGCCAAGAAAAGGAAGCGGUGUUUUUCUCGUUGCCAUGUUCCC